UAUUAAUUCAAAGAUAAGGGUGUUAAAACAUUAUUAAAGUUUCUUAUAAAAUAUAAAUAUAAUUGUCCAAUGUUAUGUAAUAAUAAUAGGAUUAUUGUCCUCCGGCUUAACUUUAUAAAAUAGCGAUAAUUGCUUUUGUAGUUCAAGUAUUAGAUACAUGUAUUUAAUUUAUCUCGCACUUUUGACAGCCAUAGGAUUAAGUUGUAAAAUAGUAAAUCAACAUGUAUAAUUUCUUUGGAUAUUUGAAAUAAGAAACAUUAUAUUUAAGAAAAAGGGAACAUUGAAAACAAGAAAUAUUCAACUUAAAACUAAAAUGGGAAAUAAUCAAUGUUAAAACGAGAGUUCAUAUAAAUAUUCAAAUCAAAACGAAGGUUCAUAUAAAUAAUCAAAUCAAAACGAGAGUUCAUAUAAAGCACUUUGCGAAUUAAGGUAAAAGUUCCUAAAGUCACUUUUCUCCCAAUUAUAAAUACAACAGCAUAUAAUUGGUGAACAAGCACUGCAGUUUAUACAUGUUUAUUUCGAAAAUAACACAAUAUAAACUAAAUUUACAAAAAGAAAUAAGAACAUUUAAAUUCCAUUUACUUUAUUGAAGUAUCAAUGAACAACAAACUUUAAUUGCAGUAUGGAAGGAGGCUAUCGACAUACUAAAGGAUACUUUUAUGAAAAAGAAGAAAAGAGUUAGAAAAAGAGGACGGUUCGCUACAACAAAUACAGUUUCGUUCACAAAGUGGUUACCCGCUAACUUUCCUUUGGAAGGUGUCAUGUGUGGUUGUGGAAGAAACCUUAAAACGCCAAGAUCGCUUUUAGGCCACUUAGGAAGAAAAAGCUCGACCGCCCGAAAAAAUGUAAAAUUAUUUAAAAAGGGAAUAUAAUUAAAAACCAAUUACAUGCUUUUGGAGACAUUAGAUACCAUGCACAUUUACAAUGGCUGAACAUACAAAUGUAGUUUAAUAUCAAAGUGCAAAUAUAUUAAGAAUUUAUUAACAAGAUUAAUACUACAGAGGAUAUGUUUCAUUUUUGACACUAUUUCAAAGACGCUUUUUUUUAAAAGCAAACUUAAAUGUCAUGAAACAGUUAGAGAAUAAAAAGAUGAAAAUAAAAAUUGUUGCAUCAUGUUCUUUUAUUCUUAAAAUGAUAUCAUGAAAUCCGUACGUACAUUUGCAACUUAUCAUUGACAAUAAUAACAUACCAAAUUGCAAACACAACAGAUUAAAAUAAAAGAACAAUGAAGUGUUGAUCCUUCUGAAUUCACCUUUCUUUAUGUUUGAACAGAGUUCUGCAUUCUGCUUAAAAUACGGACUCUGUGUGUCCGAUAUGUUCAUACAAGGAUCUGAAAGCGCUCCAUUCUACUUUCUGUUGAAAUACCAUUCGGGGUCUUUGGCUUCUUUUUCAGAUUAUAAUUGUUGUUUUUGAGCAAUUGAUUUUGUAAUUUGAUAAGGGACGUUCCGUUAUGAAUUUUCCUUGGUGUUCGUUUUUUUUUUGUUGCUAUUUCACUUUUACACAUUUUCGAAAUUAGGAAAUAUGACAUUUCAUUUGCUUAUGUGAUAAAUACCAAAACAGAAAUAAAACAGAUUGUUGUCAUAUCCUGGUAAGCAAAUCAGGGACCAUAUUGCGUUUUUGUUAGGAAGUACAUGGGUUAAAUUCAGAUUUUAUUUCAGAAUAGAAACAUUCUGUCAUUCAUUGACUUUAAUUAUAGCGUUUGGUUUUUUCCCCCCAAUUUUUCAUAUUCCACCAUUACGAGGAAUCGGAUAACUUAUAAAACAAAUCAUGUUUUGAUUAAGAUAAAAGACGGUAAGCAAUCUGUUAUUAUGUGAUAUUGUAUAAUUGACAAUGAGAUACAGUCUCACCUAUAGACCAAAUGAGGUGAAAGCAAGCAACUUUAGGUCAUCUUUUUUUUUAAAGACGUACACAUUUUAUCCCUAAAUAUUUCCUGUAUACAAUUACCUUAGUCGUCCAGGAACAGGGCAAAAUGAACCAUUUAUCCAGAGGAAAUAGA
rnacentral:lncRNA from 1 species